rnacentral:tRNA from 1 species
GCUUGCUUUCAUAGCUCAGAUGGUUAGAGCACCCGUUUAGUAAGCGGGAGGUCUUGAGUUCGAAUCUCAAUGAAAGCACUUUUUUAUGUUCCUUUUUUUUUCCUAUUACAUGGACUUUUGAUUUGUAUGGCUAUUUUAGAUACCAUAUGCAACCACAUUGUUUGUAGUGCACCCUUAUCCAUUUCUUGUGGUGGGAACCAUAAUUUGGUAAAAUAAAAAUGGAAUGUAGGGAAGUAAGUCAACUUGGUUUCAUAGCUCAGUUGGUUAGAGCACCCGUUUAGUAAGCGGGAGGUCUUGAGUUCGACUCUCAAUGAAAGCAC